UUUCACUUGUUGGCGACAAUUUGACGCUUGUGAGCUGCUCGACUGAAUGAACUGCAAUACGGAGCUGUGUUGUGCUUCGAGGACCAGCCUGAUCUUAUUCGCAAGUUUCCCCGGAACCCCGUGUUGUGUCCGGCAACUUUCAUCUUCGCGUGUGUGCUUAGCAGGCGCUUUCAAACAUCGGUUGGCCGAGACCGUACCACUGCCUGCGACGCUCGAGUUCAUUUUCGGUUUUCUCGCUGAUCUUGCAUUCCACGACUCCCUUCUCAUAAUCCGCGCACUCAGAAAGGUUCUACAGUUUCGCGGUUGUGUUCUUUGUGACCCUUCCUUUUUUCAGAGGUUGCUUUAUGGUUGCAGUUACCUUUCCACUUACUUGAGCGGCGGGGUCCGUAUCUGCACCUCUGAAUGAAAAGUCUCGUCUAAAAGCUGGUUCCGCAAACGCGAUUUAUCUACUUAAGUUUUUGUGUAUAUUCUUGAGGUGUCUGUUGAGUGUGUUUCAGUAUGUCUAGCCCUUACCUUUCCAUUUUGAAUCCUUGGAUAACGCUUGAAAUGGGAUUGCCCGUUGUUGGCAUUACACGUAAAUUGUUCACAUUAAAACCAGCUUGCUUGGAAUAUUUUGUUGUCUAAUGAAGAAAAUUAUCUUCACUGUGUUCAGUAGAAACAAAAACAAAAAAAGAAACGCCCUUGUGCCGUUCUUUCUGUUACCUUUUAAACAAAUUUAUUAUAUGAGAUUUUGUCACACACACCAAGCAUUUCUGCUCAAGUUUACGCUGGUUUUAGGUUGGACACCCACGAGCCAGUGUUUAUAUGUCAUAGUCUACACAAUGAUUGUGGUUCUUAUGCCAACGUUUCAACUUGUUGAGUACAAAGCGAGCGUGUUUAUCACAAUAUCCACCAUAAGGAAGGUAACAAGGUUGCCUUCCUUAUGAUGAAAUUCAACUUGCUUUGCGAUUUUGUAAUAAUUUAAAAAAUAAGGCGCCUUAUGCACUUGCCAUGGCAAGUGCAUAAGGCACCUUAUUUUUAAAAUUAUAGAUCUGUGGCUGCUGUGCACAUACAUGCUUAACACCUAUUAUUUGAAAUCUCAUAUUAGCAACACGGUAUUAAUGUUGACACGAGAGGGCGCCCAUUGAGACGUUGCUCAUUGAAGUCUCGGUCUGAGCCUUAUUCAGCUAUAAAUUGCUAUAAAUUAGGCAUUAUUUCGUUUCAGUAUAAAAAAUGCGAUAAUGGAAUGUUUAAAAUUUUUUCGUUUUCCUCAGAACGUAAAAGGUCAUUCAUUAUGUAGAGGUUCCAUUUGCUGGAAAAACUCCCGGACAGUAGACUGAAGUUGUGAAGCCUCAAGGAACCCAGCGCGUGCCUUCCCCGGACAAGGCGAUGGUGAAGCGGGAGCCUCCCGACUGGGGCAAGCCCGAGCUGCUCCUACUGCCGCUUUUCCUGCAACGACCGCCUGGAGCACACCCUGCACCACUCGCAACACCUCAGGGAGAGGCCUUUCAGGUG